rnacentral:rRNA from 1 species
GACGAACGCUGGCGGCGUGCUUAAUACAUGCAAGUCGAGCGGGGUCCAUCCAGUGGCAACACUGGUGAAGACCUAGCGGCGAACGGGUGAGUAACACGUGAGGAACCUGCCCCAGAGACCGGGAUAACUCUCCGAAAGGAGAGCUAAUACCGGAUACACCCACCGGAUCGCAUGGUCUGGUGAGGAAAUGGAUUCCGCUCUGGGGAGGGGCCUCGCGGCCUAUCAGCUGUUUGGUGAGGUAACGGCUCACCAAGGCGUCGACGGGUAGCUGGUCUGAGAGGACGAUCAGCCACACUGGGGACUGAGACACGGCCCAGACUCCUACGGGAGGCAGCAGUGGGGAAUAUUGGACAAUGGGCGCAAGCCUGAUCCAGCCAUGCCGCGUGAGUGAUGAAGGCCCUAGGGUUGUAAAGCUCUUUUACCCGGGAAGAUAAUGACUGUACCGGGAGAAUAAGCCCCGGCUAACUUCGUGCCAG